rnacentral:rRNA from 1 species
UACAGAGACUGCAAGCGUUAUUCGGAUUCACUGGGCGUAAAGGGUGCGCAGGCGGCCGUGUGUGUGAGGCGUGAAAGCCCGGAGCUCAACUCCGGAAUUGCACCUCAAACUACACGGCUAGAGCAUUGGAGAGGGUAGCGGAAUUCACGGUGUAGCAGUGAAAUGCGUAGAUAUCGUGAGGAACACCAGAGGCGAAGGCGGCUACCUGGACAAUUGCUGACGCUCAGGCACGAAAGCGUGGGGAACAAAAGGG